rnacentral:rRNA from 1 species
AGAGUUUGAUCAUGGCUCAGGAUGAACGCUAGCUACAGGCUUAACACAUGCAAGGUCGAGGGGAAACGACAUCGAAAGCUUGCUUUUGAUGGGCGUCGACCGGCGUACGGGUGAGUAACGCGUAUCCAACCUGCCCACCACUUGGGGAUAACCUUGCGAAAGUAAGACUAAUACCCAAUGAUAUCUCUAGAAGACAUCUGAAAGAGUAUUAAGAUUUAUCGGUGAUGGAUGGGGAUGCGUCUGAUUAGCUUGUUGGCGGGGUAACGGCCCACCAAGGCAACGAUCAGUAGGGGUUCUGAGAGGAAGGUCCCCCACAUUGGAACUGAGACACGGUCCAAACUCCUACGGGAGGCAGCA